GACGAACGCUGGCGGCGUGCUUAACACAUGCAAGUCGAACGGUGAAGCGCCUUCCUUUUUGGUGGGUGUGGAUGAGUGGCGAACGGGUGAGUAACACGUGAGUAACCUGCCCCCUUCUUCUGGAUAACCGCAUGAAGGUGUGGCUAAUACGGGAUAUUCUGGGUCUGUCGCAUGAUGGGUCUGGGAAAGAUAUUGUUUCGGUGGGGGAUGGGCUCGCGGCCUAUCAGCUUGUUGGUGGGGUGAUGGCCUACCAAGGCGGUGACGGGUAGCCGGCCUGGGAGGGUGGACGGUCACACUGGGACUGAGACACGGCCCAGACUCAUACGGGAGGCAGCAGUGGGGAAUAUUGCACAAUGGGCGCAAGCCUGAUGCAGCGACGCCGCGUGAGGGAUGGAGGCCUUCGGGUUGUGAACCUCUUUCGCCAGUGAAGCAGGCCUGCCUCGUUUGUGGGUGGGUUGACGGUAGCUGGAUAAGAAGCGCCGGCUAACUACGUG
rnacentral:rRNA from 1 species